rnacentral:rRNA from 1 species
UACGAAGGGGGCGAGCGUUGUUCGGAUUUACUGGGCGUAAAGGGCGCGCAGGCGGUUCUGUUUGUCGAGUGUGAAAGCCCCGGGCUCAACCUGGGAACUGCGCUCGAAACGGCGGAACUAGAGUUCGGGAGAGGAGAGUGGAAUUCCCAGUGUAGAGGUGAAAUUCGUAGAGAUCCGGAGGAACACCGACGGCGUAGGCAGCGCCCUGGCUGUGAAUAAAGCUGACACUGAGGCACGAAAGCUGGGGGAGCAAACAGG